GGACAGUUACUCAAGUGGUCGAAGAGGUCGUCUUGGAAAGGCGAUAGUGGGGCAACCCAGCAGGAGUUCAAAUCUCCUACUGUCCG
rnacentral:tRNA from 1 species